UUUUUUUUUUUAAAUUAAAAAUUAUCAUUUUACUAGUAAGAUUUUACUCAUUACCAGCAAAUAUGGAGAAAUGUUGGGAACUGCUAAUUAGCAAUUUGUGGUUUAGGCACUAUGUAUUGAUUUAGGUUUAAGGAAAUAUAUGGGUUAAUGGAUUUAAGUGAAUUUUCUGAUUGAGGAAUAAAACUGUACUUCCUCAAUUGAAUUGCUGUGGUAUUGUUGCUAAUCGUUUGAUAUUUUCUCUUCACUGAUCGAUAGGAAAUUGGGAAAUUAAUUGUUUCAGGCGUUGGUUUGUUCUUCUUCUUCGAUUCCAAACAGAGAAGGAAGCAAUUUCCUCCUCCACUUUCAAAUGUGUAUAAUAGUUUUGUUAUUAGGUGAAUGCAUCAUUUCUCAAUAGCGUGUACCACAGUACCAGGGAAAUAAGUUGUGGUUUUCCAAUAGCAUUAGCAUGAGGUAGCCCUGUUGCAGUUCAGUAUUCUGAAAGGGUAAUAUUGUUAUUGAAUUUGGUUCUGUUCAUAGGUAUGAUACAUAUUUUUACAAGGUAUUCAAGGUGUAUACACAAUUGUGGAAGUUUCAACAAGAGAAUCGACAGAAGCUCGUGGAAGCUGGGCUUAAGAGAUGGGAGAUUGGGGAAAUU
rnacentral:misc_RNA from 1 species